AAAAAAACAAAUUGCCAGCAAAUCUUUACAUGUAUGCGAAAAGCAUUUUGAAGAUCACGAAGUUAAUAGAAAUUCAGCUAGAGCAAGACUUAUACCAGGAUCUUUACCUUCAAAAAAUUUACCAAAAAGGAGCGUUCAAACAUCUAGUUCCUUAGCAAUAUCAAAACUUCCAACAUUAAGUAUUGAGUUGAAAAAAGAUUGCUGUGAAAUUGACAAAGUUCAAAAUGAUGUACAUUCU